rnacentral:rRNA from 1 species
GACGAACGCUGGCGGCGUGCUUAACACAUGCAAGUCGAACGGAAAGGCCCUGCUUGCAGGGUACUCGAGUGGCGAACGGGUGAGUAACACGUGGGUGAUCUGCCCUGCACUUCGGGAUAAGCCUGGGAAACUGGGUCUAAUACCGGAUAGGAGCCAUUUUUAGUGUGAUGGUUGGAAAGUUUUUUCGGUGUAGGAUGAGCUCGCGGCCUAUCAGCUUGUUGGUGGGGUAAUGGCCUACCAAGGCGGCGACGGGUAGCCGGCCUGAGAGGGUGGAAGGCCACAUUGGGACUGAGAUACAGCCCAGACUCCUACGGGAGGCAGCAGUGGGGAAUAUUGCACAAUGGGCGCAAGCCUGAUGCAGCGACGCCGCGUGGGGGAUGACGGCCUUCGGGUUGUAAACUCCUUUCGCUAGGGACGAAGCUUUUUGUGACGGUACCUAGAUAAGAAGCACCGGCUAACUACGUG